UACGAAGGGGGCUAGCGUUGCUCGGAAUCACUGGGCGUAAAGGGUGCGUAGGCGGGUCUUUAAGUCAGUGGUGAAAGCCUGUAGCUUAACUAUAGAAUUGCCAUUGAAACUGAAGGUCUCGAGUGUGGUUGAGGUAACUGGAAUAUAUCAUGUAGCGGUGAAAUGCUUAGAUAUGAUAUAGAACACCAAUUGCGAAGGCAGGUUACUGAGCCAUUACUGACGCUGAGGCACGAAAGCGUGGGGAUCAAACAGG
rnacentral:rRNA from 1 species